UCUGAGCCUAAUUCCCUUCUCUGUAACCUAACCCUCUGCUUCGCUUGCUUGACUUCCGAGGUCGCGCGGCUCGCGCUGCAGUGAGGACAUCAGUUGCGCAAGGUGGCUGUGGCGAGGACGUCGAUGACCGCCUUGUGCAGUGGCGAGGAUGUCGGCGGUUGCCUCACGUUAUGGCAAGGACGACGACGACCCCCUUCGUGCUGUAGCGAGGACAACGACCCCCUUCGUGCUUUGGCGAGGGAUGCCCACUGCCCCUCGCGCGGCGACGAGGAUGCCCACGGCCGCCUCGCGCAGCGGCCCUAAGGUUGCCUCUCUCGAUCACGAGGACGCUCGCAACUGCCUCACACGGGCGUGCCUCUUGUCUAUCGCACUGUCAAUGAUUUACAUCCACUUGCCAUUGUGAUGGAUGGGAGAGACCAAAUGCCGCCAACAGAAAUGGCAUUGGAUUGAAGCGGAAUAAAGAUAAUUUUUCUUGAUUUAUAUGGUUUAUUAUAUUUUUCAUUGAGGUUAGAUGAGCAUUUAUAUUCCUUCCACAUAGUACUAGGUUGACUAUGCUUUGUAUUGUUAUAAAGGCGCCUUGAUUUGGUAAAUUCAAGAUUAUUUUGUUCUCUUGUAUUAUUUUUCUUAGAUGUAAGAAAUUGUGUUUUUUUUUCAACAGUCCAUCUUAUGCUCUUGUUAUACAAAUACCAAUUAGCUAGCUUAUUUGAAUGAGGCAAUUCCCAAGUUCUAAAAUUUUAUUAGCAUUCCCAAGAUUUUUCUUUCUAAUACCAAAUCUAAGCAGAUUUUAAGCUUUUUUUUAAAUGAAAUUUUUAUCGUUGAUAUUAAAUAAAAUUUAUAUCUUUGAUAUGGUUAAAACUGUUUUGCGUGAAUUAGUGAAACUAUGAGGUACUGCUAUAAAGGAUAUCUCUUUAUGGGAGCGUCACAGAUCAUAUUUGCUUAUAUUGACCUAAAUCUUUUGGUAAAUCUGAUAGGGUAAGGUGAUCUUGAGGUAUAAUUUUCUUUUGCAAGCAAUUAUAAGUCUUUGUUAGUUAUGUUGGUGGCAACAAGUGUGGAUAUACUUGAUGUUUAUGAUAUUAUUUUUGUUUGAAAUUGUGAAUUGAUUUUUAUUCUUCUUGUAAUACGGGUAAAAUAAAUUAUGAAUACAUUAGUACUUUCUGAUUUUCUCCUUUGACCACUACUGAUAUGGUUAUCAACUUGCUUAACUGAAGGUGGUGAUCGUACCUUAUAUAAACUCUAUAGAAUUACUCAACUCUUUCCCAAGGUGAAUUCCUUGUUCCAAAUACUAUUAAUAUUAUUCCUUUCAUUUAAAAUUUUUUUGUACUAUGGAUGCUGAAACCUUUGGUUUUAUUUAUAGGUAGAUAUAUUUGCCCAGCUCCAAAAAGCGAGUGAAACAUUUAUAACUUAUAUUAGAGAUAGACUUGCUCAUAUUUGUAGGAUUUCCUCAAAAUGUUUCCUUUAUAUUAUAGCACGGUGAAUAUUAUGUUUAUUGUAUCUGAAUUUUGUUAUUUCUCCAUCCAGAUGAAGAAGAAUGCAAUAGUUGGAAAGACACCUUCCCGUCUUCCCAUGACUACUCCACCCCCACCAACAACUAUUUCAUCUCUAAAGUUUGGAUACUUUCUUCUGUACACACGAAGUCAGUUAAUGCAAAAGUUGAAAGCAUAUAUCUAAGUGCAUACAUAGAUGAUGGUGUUGCCAAAACAACUGCAAGUCACUAAUUUGACCUUCCAGAGUUUAGGCCUUAUUUAGGAGAUGAGCAAGUGGACCAAGGAUUUGAUUUCUGUGAGAGUAGUGAUAGCAGAAAUAAAGAUUAAAUUAUUUGUGGUGGGAUUUAAAAUUUUAUCAGUUACUUAUAGUUUGAUUAAUGGUUAAAUUUGUUUGGAUGUUUUGAAUAUUUAUUUAUCUCAAUGUUAAUUGAAUGAUGCUUUUUUAUUA